rnacentral:rRNA from 1 species
CAGCCGCCGCGGGAAUACGAAGGGGGCUAGCGUUGCUCGGAAUGACUGGGCGUAAAGGGCGCGUAGGCGGUUUUGACAGUCAGAUGUGAAAUUCCUGGGCUUAACCUGGGGGCUGCAUUUGAGACGUCAAGACUAGAGUGUGAGAGAGGGUUGUGGAAUUCCCAGUGUAGAGGUGAAAUUCGUAGAUAUUGGGAAGAACACCGGUGGCGAAGGCGGCAACCUGGCUCAUUACUGACGCUGAGGCGCGAAAGCGUGGGGAGCAAACAGGAUUAGAUACCCGCGUAGUCCUUGUCUCUUAUAC